rnacentral:rRNA from 1 species
ACAUGCAAGUCAGGGGCAGCACAAGGAGCAAUCUGAGGUGGCGACCGGCGCACGGGUGAGUAACACGUAUGCAACCUGCCUGUAAGCGGGGAAUAACCCGUUGAAAGACGGACUAAUACCGCAUAAUACUAAAUUACUGCAUGGUAAUUUAUUUAAACAUUUAUGGCUUACAGAUGGGCAUGCGCAUGAUUAGCUAGUUGGAGAGGUAACGGCUCCCCAAGGCAACGAUCAUUAGGGGUUCUGAGAGGAAGGUCCCCCACACUGGUACUGAGACACGGACCAGACUCCUACGGGAGGCAGCAGUGAGGAAUAUUGGUCAAUGGACGAGAGUCUGAACCAGCCAAGUCGCGUGCAGGAAGAAUGUCCUAAUGGAUUGUAAACUGCUUUUGCAGGGGAAUAAAGUGCAUCACGUGUGAUGUUUUGUAUGUACUCUGCGAAUAAGGAUCGGCUAACUCCGUGCCAGCCGCAGC